CCUGCCCCUUGAGGCGUUGCAGUCGGACUGUAAGUGUGGAGUCUGUGUCAUGAGGGGCAUAGAGUGACAUGUCUACACAGAGGACCCAGAACAGUGGCUACUUGGAGUGAUUAUAGCUCUGACAGA
ensembl:snoRNA